GGGCGAAAGCCUGAAGCAGCAACGCCGCGUGAGGGAUGAAGGCCUUUCGGGUUGUAAACCUCUUUUUCUCAGGGGACGAUAAUGACGGUACCUGAGGAAUAAGGCCACGGCUAACUACGUGCCAGCAGCCGCGGUAAUACGUAGGUGGCAAGCGUUGUCCGGAAUUACUGGGCGUAAAGAGCGCGCAGGCGGCCGAGUAAGUCGAAUGUGAAAGCCCCCGGCUCAACUGGGGAAAGUCAUUCGAUACUGUUCGGCUGGAAGAUAGGAGAGGGAAGCGGAAUUUCAGGUGUAGUGGUGAAAUUGCGUUAGAUAUCUGAAGGAACACCAGUGGCGAAGGCGGCUUUCUGGCCUAUUCUUGACGCUGAGGCGCGAAAGCUAGGGGAGCGAACGGGAUUAGAUACCCCGGUAGUCCUAGCCGUAAACGAUGAACACUAGAUGUUGGUGGUAUCAACCCGCCAGUGUCGUAGCUAACGCAUUAAGUGUUCCGCCUGGGGAGUACGGCCGCAAGGCUA
rnacentral:rRNA from 1 species